GAAGGAAAAUUAAAAUUGAGUGGAAGUACGUAGGAGGGCGGAGCCAGGCUAGGUUGCAACAGCAGUUGAUAAAU